rnacentral:rRNA from 1 species
GCUCCAUGCACGAUAGAGUGACCUGCGGAAGGAUCAUUACAGAGUUCAUGCCCGAAAGGGUAGACCUCCCACCCUUGUGUAUUAUUACUUUGUUGCUUUGGCGAGCUGCCUUCGGGCCUUGUAUGCUCGCCAGAGAAUACCAAAACUCUUUUUAUUAAUGUCGUCUGAGUACUAUAUAAUAGUUAAAACUUUCAACAACGGAUCUCUUGGUUCUGGCAUCGAUGAAGAACGCAGCGAAAUGCGAUAAGUAAUGUGAAUUGCAGAAUUCAGUGAAUCAUCGAAUCUUUGAACGCACAUUGCGCCCCUUGGUAUUCCGGGGGGCAUGCCUGUUCGAGCGUCAUUUCAACCCUCAAGCUUAGCUUGGUAUUGAGUCUAUGUCAGUAAUGGCAGGCUCUAAAAUCAGUGGCGGCGCCGCUGGGUCCUGAACGUAGUAAUAUCUCUCGUUACAGGUUCUCGGUGUGCUUCUGCCAAAACCCAAAUUUUUCUAUGGUUGACCUCGGAUCAGGUAGGGAUACCCGCUGAACUUAAGCAUAUCAAA